UUUCAAGCAUAAGUAUGUCCCACACAACAGUUGGGAUAUACUUAUACUAAAA
rnacentral:pre_miRNA from 1 species